rnacentral:sRNA from 1 species
GUCCCCUAAAGAGUUUGUAUUUUUUUAACUGAAAAUAAUUGUAAACUAAACAUUUCUAUGAUGUUAGCUAGUCUUUCUUAACACAUUGUUUAGUAUUUGUACUCCCACAAAUUCUCUAAUAGUUAUUUUAAUGUUUAAUAGCCUGUAACUGCUUGCUACUUUAAUUGAAUUUUUUUAACUGCCUGUUUUUAACUGUGAUUUGUUUAGGACAUUGAGUAAAAGGUCACUUGUACUGUUUUAGAAUGUUGUGUUUUUGUCUCAUUUUAUUCACCGCCUCUACAUGCGCCUUUUACUGUUCUGUUUUUCUCUUUAGCUAUCCUCAUACCACCCAAGGCAGUCUUCCACCUGGACAGUUUCUGGGCUGGCCACCAGGAGCUCUCUUGUGCUGGAUGGGAUGGGAGAUAUUUCUUGUGCUGGCUGGGAUGGGAGCCUUUUCUCCUAGGGACUCAGUGUGAUCCCUCUGAAAUACUGCGUAUUUCUGUCAGCUCUCCAGACCUUGGCCUCCCAAAUUGCUACUUGCCAUUUACUGCUUUGGGCUUAUUCUGGCCACCUCAUUAUUUCUAGCAGAAUUUACUGCUUUGGGCUUAUUCUGGCCAUCUCAUUAUUUCAUUUGGAAAUACAUCAUUAAAUACAUCAUUUCAUGUUGUCAUUGUGAACGUAUGUUCAUCACAAAGCUUAAAAAUAAUAUGAUGAUAUUUUCUGCCUAGGAGCUAAAAGUCAGUAUUUUGGCUCUUGCCACCCAAAUCCUGACUGGAUGUGAUGAAGUAUUGGAAAUGCUACAGCAGGUCACAACUGCCCUCAUAAAUAGUGACAUAGCAGACCGUGAGCAGAGGUUAAAAGGCUUGGAACAAGUUACUAAGGCUACUAUGCUUGGUCACCUUCUUCCAGUGUUACUGACCUCCCUGAUGCAUCCAAAUUUACAGACUCUGAUCAUGGCCGAUGCCCUGAUGCCUCAGCUAGUGCAGCUGGUACUCUAUACCAGCCAGACGGCAUUGCUGCUUAAAACCCAGUGUCCGGUUUUUGCUGAGGUGGGCUGUUCCCCGUGUGGUGCACCAGACCAGAAGUGCAGGCUGUUCCCUGAUGAGAGGUAAUGAAUGCUGCUUCCUUGCAGGAACCCUUUUCUUGUUUUCUUUGGGUGAAAGCCUAGUACUCCUUUUAUGAAAAUGAUUUUUAGCAAGGAUUAUCUAGCUGUGAAAAGAAAAA